rnacentral:rRNA from 1 species
CGGGGAGGAGCCUAAACCGUAUAUGUGUUAAAGCUGGCGGCGUUGCAUAUACGGGGUAGAGGGAACAUACUGGACUGACGCCAUAAGGUCGGGUAUAUCAUGAUGUAAGCGGAACGCGGCUGGAAAGCCGGACCGUAGGAGGUGAGAGUCCUGUAGAGCGUAAAGUCAUGAUAGCCUGUAUGAGAUCCCGAGUAGCAUCGGACACGAGGAAUCUGGUGUGAAUCAGCGUGGACCAUAUCACGUAAGGCUAAAUACUUCCGCCGACCGAUAGAGGAGAGUACCGUGAGGGAAAGGUGAAAAGAACCCUGAGCAAGGGAGUGAAAGAGAAUUUGAAACCGUGUGCUUACAAGCGGUAGGAGCACAGAGAUGUGUGACUGCGUGGAUUUUGGUUAAUCAUCCUGCGAGUUAUGAUGUGUGGCGAGGUUAAGUAUGAGCGGAGCCGAAGGGAAACCGAGUCUUAAUAGGGCGCAAGUCGCAUGUCAUAGACGCGAAACCUAGUGAUCUAGGCCUGUCCAGGCUGAAGCUGAGGUAAGAC